GUGUCAGCCGCCGCGGUAAUACGGAGGGGGCUAGCGUUGUUCGGAAUUACUGGGCGUAAAGCGCACGUAGGCGGCUUUGUAAGUUAGAGGUGAAAGCCUGGAGCUUAACUCCAGAACUGCCUUUAAGACUGCAUCGCUUGAGUCCGGGAGAGGUGAGUGGAAUUCCGAGUGUAGAGGUGAAAUUCGUAGAUAUUCGGAAGAACACCAGUGGCGAAGGCGGCUCACUGGACCGGUACUGACGCUGAGGUGCGAAAGCGUGGGGAGCAAACAGGAUUAGAAACCCCCGUAGUCC
rnacentral:rRNA from 1 species